GAGUACCGGCUAGUAUCGCGAGAUCAGGAAGGUGGCCGAGUGUGUCGCCGCGGCCAUCAGGGGGGUUAUAGCCAUGUGACUGAUCUUCGUCCAAGAAUAUGUAAAGAAAAAGUGUUGAGUUGGCUUUUAGGGCUAGAGCAAUGUAUCUUAGGCUCACUUAAGGAAGCUGUAGAGAUGAGCCCAAGGAGGGAAACCAGAAGAGCCCCCCAGGCUCACCAGUUGUUUGUUGGCUCCCUACAAACAUGUCAUUCAAGUGGCUAAUCUUACAACAGCACAAAUUCAUCUAACCAGAAAGAGAAGAGGAGGCUCCAAAGGCACUUGACUACUGAGCAUCACCCUGGACGUGUACAAGUCUGCGUCCUUAUUGUUUUCUUCAUUGGGCCGAACUUUCUGGUCCUCAUCCAACAGCUCUUCUAUCACGUGUUCGAAAGUGUCAGCCAAUGAUGUCAAGCCUCUUGAACCUGCCUUGGGCCCAUUCACGCUCUCCAGAGUCCCAUGGGUCCGCACACCUGGAGAUACUCUAUUAUAGCAAAGAAGAAAGAUAAUUUCAUUGAGCCAUCCUGUUUUACAGGAAAUUCUGCAAGUGGCAACGUGGGUCCAUUCCGUGUGUGUCACUAGAGCUGGCGCAAGCCCAUGGCCAUGGUGAGGCAGCGUUUCCACUGGAACUAAUCUGAUACCUGCACCAGCUCUUGCAACUGUGCAGUGUUCCCACUGCAAACUACGGAUGGGGUAAAAGACUGCUCACCUCCUAUUUCUCAUCUAAUCUCACACACUCUGUUUGAUGAGGCUAUGGAGAAACAGGUCUUCUCAUACACUAAAGGUGGGAGUACAAACAAUUCAAGCCCUGUGCAGGACAAUUAGGCAAUACCUAUCAAAAUUAUACAUGAUUUUUCCUGCUGACCCAGCAAUUCCACUUCUGGGAAUAAUUGACAGAUAUAGGUGCAUAUGUACAAAAUGAUGGAAAGCUCUCUGGUAUAUAUUAGUAAGUGAUAAAACAAGGUGUAAAAUAGUGUAUAUAUGGCUACUACCUUUUGUUUUAAAAAUGGGGGAAAAUGGUGGAGCUUGCGGUGAGCCGAGAUCGUGCCACUGCACUCCAGCCUGGGCGACAGAGCGAGACUCCGUCUCAAAAAAAAAACAGGGUGGGGUGGGGGGGAAAUAAUAGUACAUACUCAUAUUUACCUGUAUCUAUAUAAAACACACUAUCAAGGAUUCACAAGAAACUAAUACAAAUGAUCACCUUAUAGAUGGUAUGUAUUGGGGGAUACUGAGGUGAGCAGGGUAUAAGUGGGGCAAGACUUUUCAGUGUAAACUUCUUUUAAAUUUUAUUUUGAUUUUUGAAUAAUGUAAAUUAACUGUCAAAUAAUUAAAUUAAAAAUAACCAAUUUAUUAACAAAACA
rnacentral:lncRNA from 1 species